rnacentral:tRNA from 1 species
ACGACCGUAGCUCAGCUGGUUAGAGCACCACCUUGACAUGGUGGGGGUCGGUGGUUCGAGUCCACUCGGCCGUACCA